UACGUAGGGGCCUAGCGUUGUCCGGAUUUAUUGGGCGUAAAGAGCUCGUAGGCGGUUCGGUAAGUCAGGUGUGAAAUCUCCACGCUCAACGUGGAGGGGCCACCUGAUACUGCCGUGACUCGAGUCCGGUAGGGGAGUGUGGAAUUCCCGGUGUAGCGGUGAAAUGCGCAGAUAUCGGGAGGAACACCAGUAGCGAAGGCGGCACUCUGGGCCGGAACUGACGCUGAGGAGCGAAAAGCGUGGGUAGCAAACAGG
rnacentral:rRNA from 1 species